GUGAAUCAUCAAAUUUUUGAACGCAAAUUGCACUCUCUUCGGAGAGUAUGACUGUUUGAGGGUCAGCCUAAAAAAAAUCGACAUAGUCGCUGUUUCGCGGUGACAUUCGUCGGAAAUUGGGUCAUCUUAAACCUUUUGGUUUUAAGCGGCUUAAAAUUUUCUUUACGAUUCCACGAACGUUUCUAAGAUUUACUUAUAUGUUUAUGUUAUCGUAUUUUAUUAGACUUGACCAUCAUAUCGGAUCGGGUCCAUAAUCUUUUCUUAACUUACCUCAGACC
rnacentral:misc_RNA from 1 species